rnacentral:misc_RNA from 1 species
GCGAGUAUGGCCCUCAUGGGUCUAAUCCACCAUAAACACCUUUGUGAACCAGUCAGGGGGACUCGGCCGUGAAAGCCCAGGCGAUUAGCGGAAGGGCCCUCCUUUGCAAACCCGUUUAGAAGUCUUGAAAGUACUUUUGUAUAAUCUAGUA